UAUGAAGAACGCAGCGAAAUGCGAUAAGUAAUGUGAAUUGCAGAAUUCAGUGAAUCAUCGAAUCUUUGAACGCACAUUGCGCCCGCCAGUAUUCUGGCGGGCAUGCCUGUUCGAGCGUCAUUUCAACCAUCAAGCCCCCGGCUUGUGUUGGGGACCUGCGGCUGCCGCAGGCCCUGAAAACCAGUGGCGGGCUCGCUGUCACACCGAGCGUAGUAGAUUUUCAUCUCGCUCAGGGCGUGCUGCGGGUUCCGGCCGUAAAAAGCCUUAUUUACCCAAGGUUGACCUCGGAUCAGGUAGGAAGACCCGCUGAACUUAAGCAUAUCAAUAAGCGGAGGA
rnacentral:misc_RNA from 1 species